CCUUGAGGACCCACCAGGUUACUCUGUCCUAUCAAACUCCGAAUACUGCGGCGCACGUACGGGAGUCAGACAGCGGGGGAUAAGCUCCGUUGUCAAGAGGGAAACAGCCCGGACCGCCGGACAAGGUCCCAAAGCGCAUGCUAGUGCUAAAGGAAGUGGGAGUGCGAAGACAGCCAGGAUGUUGGCUUAGAAGCAGCCAUCAUUUAAAAAGUGCGUAAUAGCUUACUGGUCGAGCAUUCCCGCGCCGACAAUGAUCGGGACUCAAGCAUGCCACCGAAGCCGCGGGAUGACGGGAACGCGAAAGCCGAACCGUCAUCGGUAGGGGAGCGUUCUGCAUGGGGUGAAGGUCGACCGCAAGGACGGCUGGACCGUGCAGAAGUGAGGAUCCGGCGAUGAGUAGCGAUAAGAAGAGUGAGAAUCUCUUUCGCCGAAAGCCUAAGGUUUCCUGUCCAAUGCAAGUCAGAGCAGGGUUAGCCGGCCCCUAAGGCGAGGCCGAAAGGCGUAGCCGAUGGGAAACGCGUCAACAUUCGCGUGCCGCUCGAAGGACGUUACGAGCCAAGGAGAGACGGGAUUCGGAUGGUCUACGGGCGAUCAGAAAUGCCCGAUGAGGCCCGAGGGGUAGUGGCAGGCAAAUCCACCACGACAUCCCCGGAGGUCGCACGAGCCCAAUUAUGUUGGCGAAGUGACUGUUGGGUCUCCGAGAAAAGCUUCGUGGCCAGUCCCAGGGCGACCGUACCAGAAACCGACACAGGCAGGCAAGGAGAGUAUCCUAAGGCGCUCGUGAGAACUCUCGUGAAGGAACUCGGCAAAAUUACCCCGUAACUUCGGGAUAAGGGGAGCCUCACUGGUUCAGGGUGAACAACCCAAAGGCCGGAGAGGCCGCAGAGAAUCGGCCCAAGUGACUGUUUAUCAAAAACACAGGUCUGCGCUAAGUCAGAUAGACGCCGUAUGCAGGCCGACGCGUGCUCGGUGCCGGAAGGUUAAGGUGAGGGGUCAUCCCUUCGGGGAGAAGCUCCGAGCCGAAGCCCCGGUUAACGGCGGCCGUAACUAUGACGGUCCUAAGGUAGCGAAAUUCCUUGUCGGGUAAGUUCCGACCCGCACGAAUCGCGUAACAACUUGGGCGCUGUCUCCACGAGGGACACGGCGAAAUUGUAUCGGCGGUGAAGAUGCCGCCUACCCGCAGCUAGACGGAAAGACCCCGUGAACCUUUACUGCAACCUAUUAUUGGCUCUUGAUCUGUAGUGCGUAGGAUAGGUGGGAGGCUUCGAAGCCCUGGUUCUGGCCAGGGCCGAGCCACCGGUGAAAUACCACCCUCGACAUAUUAGGAUUCUAACCGGCAGCCGUGAUCCGGCGUCGGGACAGUGAUAGGCGGGCAGUUUGGCUGGGGCGGCCUCCUCCAAAAGAGUAACGGAGGAGUCCAAAGGUUCCCUCAGUGCGGUUGGCAAUCGCACUCGGAGCG
rnacentral:rRNA from 1 species